AAUGAACGUUGGCGGCGUGGAUUAGGCAUGCAGGUCGAGCGAGAAGUGUAGCAAUACACGGAAAGCGGCGAAAGGGAUAGUAACACGUAGGUACCUACCCCCGGGCCUGGGAUAGCGGCGGGAAACUGCCAUUAAUACCAGAUAACGUCUCCGGACCAAAGGUGUGAUUCCGUCUGGGGAGGUGCCUGCGUCCUAUCAGCUAGUUGGUGAGGUAAUGGCCCACCAAGGCAUUGACGGGUAGCGGGUGUGAGAGCACGACCCGCAUCACUGGGACGUAGACCCUGCCCAGACACCUAGGGGUGGCUGCAGUCGAGAAUCUUCCGCAAUGGGCGCAAGCCUGACGGAGCGAGGCCGCGUGCGGGAUGAAGGCCUUCGGGUUGUAAACCGCUGUCAGUAGGGAGGAAAUGCAUGGGGGUUCUCCCCCAUGUUUGACCGAUCCGCAGAGGAAGCACAGGCUAAGUUCGUGCCAGCCGCCGCCGUAAAAC
rnacentral:rRNA from 1 species